UCCACGCAGUAAACGAUGAAUGUUAGUCGUUGGGUCUCUAGUAGAUUCAGUGAUGCAGUUAACACAUUAAACAUUCCGCCUGGGGAGUACGGUCGCAAGAUUAAAACUCAAAGGAAUAACCAGGGCUAGACACGUGCUACAAUGGCCGGUACAAUGGGUUGCUACUUAGUGAUAAGAUGCUAAUCUCAAAAAACCGGUCUCAGUUCGGAUAGUAGUCUGCAACUCGACUACUUGAAGUUGGAAUCGCUAGUAAUCGCGGAUCAGCAUGCCGCGGUGAA
rnacentral:rRNA from 1 species